CCAAUAGCGUAUAUUAAAGUUGUUGCAGUUAAAAAGCUCGUAGUUGAACUUCGGGGUCUACCCAUUGGUCAGGCUUAAUUGUCUGCACUGGUGAGAUGGAUCUCUACCUUCUGAGGAACUUUCAUGUCAUUUAUUUGGUGUGAUGGGAAAUCAGGACUGUUACUUUGAAAAAAUUAGAGUGUUUAAAGCAGACUAUCGUCUGAAUACAUUAGCAUGGAAUAAUGAAAUAGGACGGACUGAUUCUAUUUCGUUGGUUUCUAGGAUCACCGUAAUGAUUAAUAGGGAUAGUUGGGGGCAUUAGUAUUCAAUUGUCAGAGGUGAAAUUCUUGGAUUUAUUGAAGACUAACUACUGCGAAAGCAUUUGCCAAGGAUGUUUUCAUUAAUCAAGAACGAAAGUUAGGGGAUCGAAGACGAUCAGAUACCGUCGUAGUCUUAACCAUAAACUAUGCCGACUAGGGAUCGGACGAAGUUAAUUUUAUAAUGACGCGUUCGGCACCUUACG
rnacentral:rRNA from 1 species